rnacentral:rRNA from 1 species
GAUGAACGCUGACAGAAUGCUUAACACAUGCAAGUCGAUGGGGAAGUGGUGCUUGCACCAUGGCAACCAUGGCGGACGGGUGAGUAACGCGUAAGGGACUUACCUGCAGGACUGGGAUAACAGGGGGAAACUCCUGACAAGACCGGAUAAUGUCAUGGAGCUGCAUGGCUUUAUGAUGAAAGGAGACGCCUGCGGAGAGCCUUGCGUCCUAUUAGCUAGUUGGUGAGGUAAUGGCUCACCAAGGCGAAGAUAGGUAGCCGGCCUGAGGGGGUGGACGGCCACAAGGGGACUGAGAUACGGCCCUUACUCCUACGGGAGGCAGCAGUGGGGAAUAUUGGACAAUGGGGGCAACCCUGAUCCAGCAAUUCUGUGUGCACGAAGAAGGUUUUCGGAUUGUAAAGUGCUUUCAGCAGGGAAGAAGUAAGUGACGGUACCUGCAGAAGAAGCGACGGCUAAAUACGUG